AUAAUUGUUUUUGUAUAGUUCUUACAAUUCACGAAGGCGAGUGAACUUUACUUGUGGUUACAUCGUAUACAUGGGCAUUGCGUAAGUGUGCGUGCAUGUUGGACCAAUCAGUCGCGAGCAAGCGCUCGCAAACGCACACAUUUAGUGUACCUUACUUAUACCGAUAGGAC